rnacentral:tRNA from 1 species
GCGCCAUUAGUUUAGUGGUAGAACAUGUGGUUGCCAAUCACAGGACGGGAGUUCGAUUCUCCCAUGGCGCA